GGGCAAGUACAUAUUAUAAUAAACAUAAUCUCCUUUAGUCGAAAAAAUGGGGUCUUGUACACAUUCUAAUUUGGUGGUGUAAAGUCCCAUUCAAAACCUUUGGCAGAUUUACACAUCGUCACAGUAAUGUGACUUGAUUAGUCUGUGUUGAUUGAUAAUCUAUGUUGUUUUAGGCUUCCACCACAGCUGAGCAUGAGGGGAGCUCGCAUGCAGUGGCGGAGCUACACUGUCAAAGGUGGGCGUGCCAGUACAAAGGUGGGCGUGCCAGUAGAAAGGAAUCCAUUAUUUUUCUCUCUCACAGCUCAGCCUACUCUCAAUCCUCCACUUCAUUUGCUACCGGCGAGACGCCGUGGCCUCUUUUUGUAACACGUAGCUCCGCCAUUGCUCGCAUGGAUGAUCCCGUGAACAUUAGCUCUGAUGGAAGUGUGGACAGCAACUCCGCUGAAGCCGUGGACAAGAUCUCUGAUGAAGUAUGCGGACACCAGCUAUGAUGAAGGCAUGGACACCAGCUCUGAUAAAGGUGUUUUCAGCAAUGCUAGACAUCAGUUACGCACAGGAAGAUAAAUGUAUCUACAACCACAAACAAUGCACAUGCAGAAAAGGUUAGAUUUAUGCAUAUAGUAAUGCCAACUUUUUACAAAAUCUGUAAUUCGUACGAUUUCCCUCCCCAACUGUUAUAGACGAGCACACUCCUACAUAGGACUAUUUUCAAAUUAUCUAAAUUAGAUGCAUAGUAAUAAAACCUAGAAGCAACCUCAGCAACAAAGAAAAUAUUAGAAAUAAAGACUGCAAGUUAAACAAGCCAGACGCAUCAUUUUACAUCUAGUUCUAAAAGUUUCAUCAUUCUGCUGACUCAAAAAUAAAAACAUAAUGGAAAGAUGUUAGAUAAACAUCACAGAAGUAAUCUUGAUGUGGCAUUAAUUAAACGUUAAGAGGAGAUGAUCCCAAUGGACAAUAGCAAACUGUACAUAAUUUUUAUGUCACAUGUUACAGUUUGUUGGCCAACCUUUCUGAUUAUUCAUUCAGUAAAAUGAUAUAACUGUCUUUUAUAAGCUACAAAGAGAUCAACAAUGAGCUUCAAGGUCCCAUGAAAAGUCAAUAGGAUAUAAGCCAUGGCAGUACCUGGCCCUAUUUUCAAAUUCAAUGCACACCAUCUAAUUCUAAUAAUAAUCAAAUCUAAAUUAAAACGAUACAUAAUAUUUUUGUAGUUCGAGAUAGGACCAAGUUGGAGUAGUACAGAGAAAAUCAAACUUUAUCCUAGCAUUACACAGAAGAAACAUGAUUCACUUAUCAUAAUAACAGAAACAUAUGAAAUAAGGAUAGGUUCCAUCCCUACCUUGACAUCCUGAGCCGCUGCACCUCCAUCUACUCUGCCCAUGGAUGAAAAACAGAGGGCGUCUCAACUAUUCAAAGCAUAGCGUCCUUGCUACUGUAGUAAAAUUUGUAAAGUACUGGCCUGCUCACAAGCAGUUAACAUACAGUGGAAGAUAUGUCUUUCUAGGCAUGUACUCUGCAACAAAAAAUCUCUCAUCACCUUGGGAGGAACAACCAAGCAGAUUUGCUGACCUUUUGCCCCAGAGCUAACCAACUUAUUUAGCAUCUUCCUGAAGCAUAAUUAUGUCCACAAAAGGUAUGGGCAAAUAUUAGAAAAUCACUGGCAUGGUAUGGAUCAAGUUAAAAUAUGCACCGAUAUGAAACAUCUAAAAAAGGAAAAAAUGAAUUAAACCCAUUAGUUAUGCAUGCUCUUUACAGAGCAUACAUGAACUAUACAGCAAACUACACAUGAAUAUAAACCGGGGCCAUGACUUCACAAUGUACAAAAAAGUCAAUAAAAAAUGGACAACCUAUUUUCAAUCCAAUGUGUACCAGGAUUGAAGCAACUAAUGGACUGCAACGUUGUAAAAAAUAUAUAGAAACUUGGACAUCGAACGACUCUGUAACGCAAAAUCACAGGCGCAAGCGAACAAUAAAAAUUUAAACACCAUAUAUUAUUACAUCUUAAAGUUCACAUAACCAUAACAUGAAUGGCCCAUCAAUAGACAAUUAGACCGAUGAAGAAAGGUAAAUGCAUGUAGCUAGAGACAACAUAGUAGAAUUACAGUACUUUGAGAAAGAGAAGCAUGUGCGUAGCGAGAAAGAACAAGCAUGCAGGGAAUAAAGAAUCAAGCAAACCUUGAAUAGCAGCACAGAGUUGCAGAUGCAGCAACCUAGCAGAUCGUCGAACCUGCUAGACAAACGGAGAUAGACCUGUCAGACUACAUGCAUAACGGUGCACACACAUGCAUAAAAACAGCAGGCACAUUCUAAUAGACAAGCAAAACAACAGCUAAUUACCAGAGCUAGAAAGCAGAACCAUACCAAGAAAGCAGGCUAGACAAAGGACUACACCAAGGCGGACCAGCAGGGAAAAUGAGAUGAAAAAAAGAAACAUCAUCACACACACAUUUCAUCGAACACGUUGCAUGCAAGCAAAUGGAAUGCAAACUAACCUCAAUGGCAAUGGCAGAACGAUGCGACGGUGGACGCAGGAGACAACGAGAAGAAACAAACCUGCACACGUAGGGGACAAGAUGAAGAACAAAGAAGUUAGUAGGGUGCAGGUUAAAGGAAGGCAAGAAUCAAGAAUCAAGUAAAGAAGGGCACCAACCUCAACCGAUAGUGUUCAUCCAGCGCACGUAAGUUAUUGCAACAGACAAGCACACCACCGGCGAAGAAGGAUGAACAAUCCAACCGAGGAGAACCCAUAGGCACCUG
rnacentral:lncRNA from 1 species